rnacentral:rRNA from 1 species
CCCAGACUCCUACGGGAGGCAGCAGUGGGGAAUAUUGCACAAUGGGGGGAACCCUGAUGCAGCGACGCCGCGUGAGUGAAGAAGUAUUUCGGUAUGUAAAGCUCUAUCAGCAGGGAAGAAAAUGACGGUACCUGACUAAGAAGCCCCGGCUAACUACGUGCCAGCAGCCGCGGUAAUACGUAGGGGGCAAGCGUUAUCCGGAUUUACUGGGUGUAAAGGGGGCGCAGACGGCGAUGCAAGCCAGGAGUGAAAGCCCGGGGCCCAACCCCGGGACUGCUCUUGGAACUGCGUGGCUGGAGUGCAGGAGGGGCAGGCGGAAUUCCUGGUGUAGCGGUGAAAUGCGUAGAUAUCAGGAGGAACACCGGCGGCGAAGGCGGCCUGCUGGACCGUGACUGACGUUGAGGCUCGAGAGCGUGGGGAGCAAACAGGAUUAGAUACCCUAGUA